rnacentral:rRNA from 1 species
GAUAAGUCUCUUGGGAAAUCUGGCAGCUUAACUGUCAGGCUUUCAGGAGAUACUGUCUGGCUCGAGGCCGGGAGAGGUGAGAGGUACUUCAGGGGUAGGGGUGAAAUCUUGUAAUCCUUGAAGGACCACCAGUGGCGAAGGCGUCUCACCAGAACGGACCUGACGGCAAGGGACGAAAGCUAGGGGCACGAACCGGAUUAGAUACCCGGGUAGUCCUAGCCGUAAACGAUACUCGCUAGGUGUCGGCCACGGUGCGACCGUUGUCGGUGCCGUAGGGAAGCCGUGAAGCGAGCCACCUGGGAAGUACGGCCGCAAGGCUGAAACUUAAAGGAAUUGGCGGGGGAGCACCACAACGGGUGGAGCUUGCGGUUUAAUUGGAUUCAACGCCGGAAAUCUUACCGGGACCGACAGCAAUAUGAAGGCCAGGCUGAAGACUUUGCCGGAUUAACUGAAAGGUGGUGCAUGGCCGUCGUCAGUUCGU